rnacentral:tRNA from 1 species
GUUGCUGUAUCAUGCCCGCACACCCUUGGUAAGGGUGAGGUCGACGGUUCAAAUCCGUCCAUGAGCUCCA